rnacentral:tRNA from 1 species
GCGGGUAUAGCUCAGUUGGUAGAGUGUUUGCCUCGAAUGCACAAGGCCCUGGGUUCAAUUCUCAGCACCACCC